GCACCUGCAAUUGGCUUGGCUGAGUCACUCUUUAAAGAUAUCUCUCCCAUUUGCUGUAAAAUAAUACCCUAAGCAACAAAUUAGGACUUCAGUUAGGAGCCUAAAAUAACUGAGAUGAAAAGGGGCGCUAGCAGGGAGGCUCAAUUCUGCCCUGCUAGAAUGGAGCUGACCACUUUCUCAAGAGAUAGCAAAUACUGGGACUGUAAUCAUUUCACAAGCAGAGUAUAAGGGGAUGUCUUCUGACACCAUUUCACCUUCUCAGCUGCACAAACGUGAAACUAGAAAGAGAUGGAAACAGCAAAGAGUUAUAACUAGCAAGCUUCUACAAUACCCAUAACUACAAUGAAAGUACAACCACAACAGCAAUCCCUCUGGCUGGAAAAAUACCAAGUGUGAUUUGGACAGAGUUCAACACUUCUGCAAACUCUGUAAUAAUAAAAGUUAUCACUAUUGCUUGAAUGAAGAACUCUGUAAGGUCCAAAAAACCACUUCUUUCUCAAACAAUCCUACUCCAUG